UAACACGUGAGCAACCUGCCUAUGACAGUGGGAUAGCCUCGGGAAACCGGGAUUAAUACCGCAUAAAAUCGUAGAAACACAUGUUUUAACGGUCAAAGAUUUAUCGGUCAUAGAUGGGCUCGCGUCUGAUUAGCUAGUUGGUGAGAUAACAGCCCACCAAGGCGACGAUCAGUAGCCGGUCUGAGAGGAUGAUCCGCCACACUGGGACUGAGACACGGCCCAG
rnacentral:rRNA from 1 species